rnacentral:rRNA from 1 species
GUGGUAUCCUGUCUGAAUAUGGGGGGACCAUCCUCCAAGGCUAAAUACUCCUGACUGACCGAUAGUGAACCAGUACCGUGAGGGAAAGGCGAAAAGAACCCCGGCGAGGGGAGUGAAAAAGAACCUGAAACCGUGUACGUACAAGCAGUGGGAGCACGCUUAGGCGUGUGACUGCGUACCUUUUGUAUAAUGGGUCAGCGACUUAUAUUCUGUAGCAAGGUUAACCGAAUAGGGGAGCCGAAGGGAAACCGAGUCUUAACUGGGCGUUAAGUUGCAGGGUAUAGACCCGAAACCCGGUGAUCUAGCCAUGGGCAGGUUGAAGGUUGGGUAACACUAACUGGAGGACCGAACCGACUAAUGUUGAAAAAUUAGCGGAUGACUUGUGGCUGGGGGUGAAAGGCCAAUCAAACCGGGAGAUAGCUGGUUCUCCCCGAAAGCUAUUUAGGUAGCGCCUCGUGAAUUCAUCUCCGGGGGUAGAGCACUGUUUCGGCAAGGGGGUCAUCCCGACUUACCAACCCGAUGCAAACUGCGAAUACCGGAGAAUGUUAUCACGGGAGACACACGGCGGGUGCUAACGUCCGUCGUGAAGAGGGAAACAACCCAGACCGCCAGCUAAGGUCCCAAAGUCAUGGUUAAGUGGGAAACGAUGUGGGAAGGCCCAGACAGCCAGGAUGUUGGCUUAGAAGCAGCCAUCAUUUAAAGAAAGCGUAAUAGCUCACUGGUCGAGUCGGCCUGCGCGGAAGAUGUAACGGGGCUAAACCAUGCACCGAAGCUGCGGCAGCGACGCUGAUGCGUUGUUGGGUAGGGGAGCGUUCUGUAAGCCUGUGAAGGUGUGCUGUGAGGCAUGCUGGAGGUAUCAGAAGUGCGAAUGCUGACAUAAGUAACGAUAAAGCGGGUGAAAAGCCCGCUCGCCGGAAGACCAAGGGUUCCUGUCCAACGUUAAUCGGGGCAGGGUGAGUCGACCCCUAAGGCGAGGCCGAAAGGCGUAGUCGAUGGGAAACAGGUUAAUAUUCCUGUACUUGGUGUUACUGCGAAGGGGGGACGGAGAAGGCUAUGUUGGCCGGGCGACGGUUGUCCCGGUUUAAGCGUGUAGGCUGGUUUUCCAGGCAAAUCCGGAAAAUCAAGGCUGAGGCGUGAUGACGAGGCACUACGGUGCUGAAGCAACAAAUGCCCUGCUUCCAGGAAAAGCCUCUAAGCAUCAGGUAACAUCAAAUCGUACCCCAAACCGACACAGGUGGUCAGGUAGAGAAUACCAAGGCGCUUGAGAGAACUCGGGUGAAGGAACUAGGCAAAAUGGUGCCGUAACUUCGGGAGAAGGCACGCUGAUAUGUAGGUGAAGCGACUUGCUCGUGGAGCUGAAAUCAGUCGAAGAUACCAGCUGGCUGCAACUGUUUAUUAAAAACACAGCACUGUGCAAACACGAAAGUGGACGUAUACGGUGUGACGCCUGCCCGGUGCCGGAAGGUUAAUUGAUGGGGU